UCAUUCGACGACUCAUUCGCUCGCUCUUCCACUGAGCUGUCAAACACGUUAGAUAUUAAAAUAUAGAUGGCCAGCUAGCUAAGGAACUAUUUGACUCUUCAACAACGUUUUCCCAUUUAACAAUAACUGUUCUCCUCUUACUAUGACUCUCAGGUGAUCUUCAGAGAGUCCAGGUGGUUCUGGGGUCCAGGUUCGUGUCGUGAGAGGGAGAGCUACAGAGGGGAGGAGGAACGUCUGGGGGCCUCGCUGCCCGGGUUCUCAAGCGGUGCUCAGUGGGCUUGGUGACUCAUCUGCAGAAUGGAGAAAGAAGACCUGAAGAUCGUGAACAAGGAUGAGGAGGAUGAGAUGGAGCUCCAGGGGUACCGUGUGUGUCGGUGGCGUGUGGCGGUGGUGGGUCUUUGGGUUCUCUGUACGGGGGGCUUCCUUCUGCUGCUGCUCUACUGGAUGCCAGAAUGGUGUGUGAAGGCCACCUGUAGCCGGACCACUGUCAGAGAGGCCGAAGUGGUGCUUCUCCAAUCCACUGAUGAGUUUAAGCGCUGGUUCCUAGCCAAGGUGCGAGUGAUGCUGGCCCCCGGGAGGAACCCCUUUGACAGCCUGGAGACCCAGACCACUCCCCCCAUGGCCAACGGACACUCCCCCCACUCCUCGAACAGCCCCACCCAGGAGUUCAACAGGAAGUACGCAGAGUACCAGCCCACUCAGAUUCGCUAUUUUACACUCCAUAGCACAAAGUACUACUGGAACGACGAGGUCCAGAAUUUUGAGGUGUUAACGGGCUUGGAAGACCUGGAGGUGACCUGUUCCAACAUCCACUCAGAGCACAGCACGGGGCUCACCAGCAACCAGCAGGAGUACAGGAGACUGUUUUUCGGAGUGAAUGAAAUUGCAGUGAAAGUGCCUUCAGUUUUCAAGCUGCUAAUCAAAGAGGUCCUCAACCCUUUCUACAUCUUCCAGCUCUUCAGUGUGAUCCUGUGGAGCGCCGACGAGUACUACUACUACGCCGUAGCCAUCGUCUUCAUGUCGGUCAUAUCCAUAGCUACCUCUCUGUACACCAUUAAAAAGCAAUACGUCAUGCUUCACGACAUGGUGGCAGCACACAGUAUUGUCCGUGUUUCAGUCUGCAGAGCCAACAACGACAUCGAGGAGGCCCUGUCCACUGACCUGGUGCCCGGCGAUGUCAUGGUCAUUCCUAGCAACGGGACCAUCAUGCCGUGCGAUGCGGUGCUGGUCAGCGGCACCUGCAUUGUCAACGAGAGCAUGCUGACAGGUGAGAGUGUGCCGGUCACCAAGACCAACCUCCCCAACCCAGGUGAGGGGGACAAGGAGGGUGACGGGGCCUACAGCAUGGAGGAGCACAAGAGACACACCCUCUUCUGUGGCACGCACAUCAUCCAGACCCGUUUCUACUCAGGGGAACUGGUCAAGGCAGUGGUGGUCCGCACAGGCUUCAGCACAGCUAAAGGCCAGCUGGUGCGCUCCAUCCUCUACCCCAAGCCCACGGACUUCAAGCUGUACCGUGACGCCUACCUCUUCCUGCUGUGCCUGGUGGCUAUAGCCGGUAUCGGCUUUGUCUACUCCAUUGUCCUCAGCAUCAUGAACAAGGUACCAGCCAAGACCAUCAUCAUCGAGUCCCUGGACAUCAUCACCAUCACCGUGCCCCCCGCGCUGCCUGCUGCCAUGACGGCGGGCAUCGUGUACGCCCAGCGCCGCCUCAAACGCAUCGGCAUCUUCUGCAUCAGCCCCCAGAGGAUCAACAUCUGUGGCCAGCUCAACCUGGUCUGCUUCGACAAGACGGGUACACUCACAGAGGAUGGACUAGAUUUAUGGGGAGUCCAGAGAGUGGAGAAUGGCUCUUUCCACCUGUCAGAGGAGAAUGCUUACAAGGAGAGUCUGGUCAAGUCCCAGUUUGUAGCCUGCAUGGCCACCUGCCACUCUCUUACCAAGAUUGAUGGCCAGCUGUCCGGAGACCCUCUGGACCUGAAGAUGUUUGAGGCCACAGGUUGGAUCCUGGAGGAGGCCACUGAGGAGGAGACCUCCCUCCACGACCGCAUCAUGCCCACCGUGGUGCGGCCCCCCAAGCAGCUGAUGCCCCCCGAGCCCGUUAUGUCACCCGAACAGGACAUGGAGCUGUAUGACUUGUCGUUGGCCUAUGAGAUUGGUAUUGUGCGUCAGUUCCCCUUCUCCUCGGCGCUGCAGAGGAUGUGUGUGGUAGCCCGUCUGCUGGGGGAGAAGCGCAUGGAUGCCUACCUCAAGGGGGCACCCGAGGUGGUGGCCAGCCUCUGCAAGAAAGACACUGUUCCAGAGGACUUUGCGGAUGUUCUGGAGGACUACACCAAGCAGGGCUUCCGGGUCAUCGCCCUGGCCCACCGCCGCCUCGAGUCCAAACUCACCUGGCACAAAGUCCAGAACGUCAACAGGGACCAGAUGGAGGCCAACAUGGAGUUCCUGGGGCUGAUCAUCAUGCAGAACAAGCUGAAGGCUGAGACCGCCGGGGUACUGGAGGACCUCCGCAGGGCACACAUCCGCACCGUCAUGGUCACUGGUGACAACAUGUUGACGGCCAUCUCAGUGGCCAGGGACUGUGGCAUGAUCCCCCCUCAGGACCGGGUCAUCAUCGCUGACGCGCUGCCCUCCAAAGAUGGUCAGUCGGCCAAGAUCAACUGGCGCUACGCAGACAAACCCAGCAAACAUGUGGGCAAAGCCCCACGUCUGGAGGAAAUAGAGAUCAGUCUAGAGGAUGUAUGUCACACUGACGAGCCCACGUCUCAGGACCAGUACCACUUCGCCAUGAGUGGCAAGUCCUUUGCUGUCAUCUCUGAGCACUUUCAGGAUGUGCUGCAGAAGUUGGUGCUGCGUGGGACAGUGUUUGCCCGAAUGGCCCCCGACCAGAAGACCCAGCUCAUUGAAGCACUGCAGAGUGUGGACUAUUUUGUGGGCAUGUGUGGAGAUGGCGCAAAUGAUUGUGGUGCUUUGAAGAGGGCUCAUGGUGGGAUCUCUCUCUCCGAGCUGGAGGCCUCUGUAGCCUCUCCCUUCACCUCCAGGACCCCCAACAUCUCCUGUGUGCCCAGCCUCAUCAGAGAAGGGCGAGCGGCUCUCAUCACAUCCUUCUGUGUGUUCAAGUUCAUGGCCCUCUACAGCAUCAUCCAGUACAUCAGUGUCACCCUGCUCUACUCUAUCCUCAGUAAUCUGGGAGACUUCCAGUUCCUCUUUAUCGACAUCGCUAUCAUCCUCCUGAUCGUCUUCACCAUGUCUCUGAACCCAGCGUGGAAGGAGCUGGUGUCGAGGCGUCCCCCCUCAGGUCUGAUCUCAGGCCCUCUGCUGUUCUCCGUACUGACUCAGAUCCUCAUCUGUCUGGGCUUCCAGACCAUCGCUUUCCUCUGGGUCCGACACCAGGCCUGGUACGACAUCUGGACGCCAGAGUCUGAUGCCUGCAACUCGUCCCCCCAUGCCAACUUCUCCCCGAAGCACAACUCCUCUGAGGACGACCACAACAUCAAGAACUACGAGAACACCUCCCUGUUCUAUGUCUCCUCCUUCCAGUACCUCAUCGUGGCCAUUGUCUUUUCCAAGGGGAAGCCCUUCAGACAGCCCAGCUACAAAAACUGGCCCUUCGUGGUGUCAUGUAUUGGCUUAUACAUAUUUCUGUUCUUCAUCAUGUUCUACCCUGUGUCUGCUAUCGAUGAAUUCCUAGAGAUUGUGUGUGUUCCAUUUGAAUGGAGAAUCGCUCUGUUCUUCAUCAUCGUAGUCAAUGCAGCCGUGUCUGUCUUGGCGGAGACCCUCGUCCUUGACGUCGUCUUAUGGAAGCUUGUGUUCAGCCGAGACAAGCAGGGCAGCUAUGGCACCACCCCCGCCACCCCGACAACACAGGGUGGCAUAGACCUCUGGGGACCCAAGUGUCUGUCGUGGCUGUGCUGCCGGCAGAGGAAGGUACCCAAGGCACUCUACAUGCACCUGGCCCAGGAGCUGAGCGUGGACCCCGACUGGCCUCCCAAACCCACCACCACCACCGAAGCCAAUCCCCCGCCGCCCGGCAACACCCCAGAAAACUGCUCCUCCUGCCAGAUCAUGGCCGAUUCCUAGCACCCCCCCGCCCCCGAUCUUGCUAAAGCAGAUAUACAUACACGACCAAAAGGACAAACUGUUGUCUAUGAAAAGGAUGAGGCGAAAGACUAUGAAAGAUGGGGUGAUGGUAAAAAUGGUUUGUGGGAUGGACAAAUGGGAGUGUCCAGGUAUCUGGUCUCUCCAUGCUCUUUGCUGCUCAGAUCCAUCACAGUGUUCAGAACCUGGCGAGUCUACAUAAGCCCCACCAACCAAACCCCUCAACCUGCCACCACCCCCUGGUCUACAAAGUUGUAGUUGCUGCUGCCGUGAUUCCUAAAGAGGCUCAAGAUCUUCUCCCAUUGCUUUUGUUUGUAAGCAGCCACCAGACAUCUCCACUAGGGUGGUUAUCAUCAUACAGGAGACUCGAAGCAUGGAUGUGCAUGAACCCAGCUCCAUAUAGCCAUUGUUACAUGGUGGUUGGAACACUACUGCUUACACCCAACAGUACUGUAAUCUUAUUAUUGCUGAACCAGAACCUUUUUGUAUAAUGAAACAGUAUGUGCGCAGAAGAGGCAGCAUGUAAACGGCUUGGAAUCAUGUGUAGCAGCACCCCCCCCCGUAUAUAGAAACCAUCCAUAGGCGAAUAGACUUGCAAAAUCGUGUCAAACUGGCCUCACAUGGGCUAGCAUUGCUCCUCAUAAAAACUGUCCUUGGAAGGAAAAAAAAUUGAUCAUGUAUUGCAUUUCUUCCCAUGGAAGAAGAAACAAGGUAUGAUAAUGGCAUUGUGAAAUUCAUUAGCUAGCUGUAUGCUCUCUCCAUACAGCCGUGCAACUGGCAACACACACUGUACUACCGAUACACACUGCGCAAUAGCCAUAAUAGCAUGCAUGUAUAACCACUGCACAGUCAAAAGAGAAAUCAAAGGGCUAAUACUCAUUGUCCAUGAGAGGAAGCUGCUGGGUGGAGAUCUAGGAUGACAGGCUCAAAUCAAAUACAAUCUAAUUUCAUUUGUCACAUGCUUCUUAAACAACCGGUGUAGACUGAGUGAAAUUAUUAUGAAAUUACUUCCGGGUCCUUUGCCAACAAUGCAGAGUUAAAGAUAAAAAAUAAUUACAAUAGAAAUACUAACAAGGAAUAAAUACGAAUAACAAUAACAAGUAACAAAACAUUGCUAUGUUCAGGAAGUACCGUGCAGGAGUACAAGGUAAUUGAGGUCGAUAUGCACAUCAAGUAGGUGUAAAGUGACUAGGCAACAGGAUAGAUAAGACCGUAGCAGCAGAGUAUGUGGUGAGUGUGAAAGUGUGUGUGGCAUCAGUAUGCAUGUGUGCCCGAGUUUGUGGGUGUGUGAUUGUGUAGGUAGAUUCCAGUGUGUGUGCAUCGAGUUCAUGCAUAGUUAGUGCAGAAAAGGGUCAAUGCCGGAAGUCCAGGUAGCCAUUUCCUUAUCUAUUUACCAGUCUUGUUUAGCAGUAGUGCUAAGCGAUUAGUGUUUUUUUGGAGGUUGUUUCGGUUCGAUUAUUAAAAAAUAAUCACGGUUUUAGGUUGUGAUUAUUUGGGUUAAAUGCUGCCCAUUUACUGCUGAUCACUUAUUAACCAUUUAUUCACAUUACUUUAAUAUUAAAUAUAUUUUGUAUUACAUUUGUUUUAUUUGAUGACUUUAUUUCAUUACAAGUCAUCAUCUCAUGUCUAUAGAGCUGUUGUCUGACAAAAUCACUAUUCUGUAGCUCGUCAAAGUAAAUAAUAUUUAUGACUGCUGAAUAACAACAAUCAAUCACUUUGAUCAUGUAUUUUCUGGUAGGGAUACCUCACGAAGCAACAGCUGCUCUGUCACCUCACGAUCGUGCAUUCUUGUCUCUUCCUGUAGCAGGCGUAAAAGAAACAUAGACCGGACAAGUAGAUGCGCAAUGGAUUAUGGUCAUUGUAGUUAAUUAACAUGUUAUAUGCACUAAACUAUGUAGAAUACUGGCCUGCUGGAAACUACAUCGCACAGUUCAGGCCGGAUCUGAUUUAUCUCGAGAGAAACUGUAGAAUGUGCUCAUUGAGCAUACAGAAAAAAAAAUAACAGAAUGGAAUUCAAAUAAUUGAACCAACUUCAGCCAAUUAGUUGCUUAAAACAACGAAAAAUAAACUUAAUUGCUCAGCAAUAUUUAGUGGUCUUAUGGCUUGGGGGUAGAAGCUGUUCAGGGUCCUGUUGGUUCCAGACUUUGUGCACACUGGCACUGCUUGCUGUGAGGUAGCAGAGAGAACAGUCUAAAACAUGUGAUAAAAAAUUCUGAAUGUGCUUGAUACCAUUUAAUUCUAAUUCCAUUACAAUGAGCCAAUCCUAUACCUCUGCCACCAUUGUUGUCCAUAUACUCGAAGAUACAGUGCACAAACAUGCACACACACACACACACACACAAACACACUCUGUCGCGAUUCAUAUAUUCUCAACAGCUAAAUUGGUUCACAUUAUUUCAUAACAUAAAAUGUACUAUGUGCAUUGCUGUCCACCCUCGUGUGUUCACCAUAUUGUAGAUGUCGUAUUCUCUGCCGGACAGUUGUACUAUAAGCCAGUCUUUCUCCUCAUAGUAGCAGAUUAGGUAUCGUCAGAGAUCCUAGUUUGUGUUCAUCCAAAAUGUGUUUCAGAAUUGUCAGAAACACGGUACUGAGAGAUACCGCUAGAAUGCUUGUUCAAAUCAAAAAUAAUUUUAGACAGAAUGACAUGUUAAGACAGUGUUAAUUUAUUCUGUUUUUUUCUGCAUCAAUCACUUUUGUUUAUUUUUUAAAGAUUCAUAUUUAAAUUUCAAGAAUAACAAACGGUUGUUACUUACAAUGUUCUAGUUAUACAUAAUUACCAGAUCAACCCUUUCAGAUCUCUAUUGUUAAUGUUAAUGAUUUCCUGUGUGUUGGUAGGUAGUAUGGCAGGUCCUACGGGCCCUAGUUUUGUCGCACCAGGACUACUGCUCAGUUGUGGUCAGGUGCCACAAAAAAGUGCAACUGGUUCAGAACAGGGCAGCACGGCUGGUCCUUGGAUAUACACAGAGGGCUAAUAUUAAUAAUAUGCAUGUCAAUCUCUCCUGGCUCAAAGUGGAGGAGAGCAUGCUUGUAUUUGAAUGCACCAAGCUGUCUGUUUGAACUACUGGCGCACAGCUCAGACACCCAUGCAUACCCCACAAGACAUGACACGAGGUCUCGUCACAGUCCCCAAGUCCAGAACAGGCUAUGGAAGGUGCACAGUACUAAAUAGAGCCAUGACUACAUGGAACUCUAUUCCAUGUCAAGCAACUCAUGCAUGCAGUCAAAUUAGAUUUUUAAAAACAGAUUUAAAAAACGCCUUAUGGAACAGCGGGGACUAUGAAGCAACACAAACAUAGGUGCGUACACACGUACACAUGGAUUUUGUACUGUAUAUAUGUGGUAGUGGUGGAGUAGGGGGCUGAGGGCACACAGUCUGAAUGUAUUGUAAUGUUUUUAAAAUUGUAUAAACUGCCUUAAUUUUGCUGGACCCCAGGAAGAGUAGCUGGCAGCAGCUAAUGGGGAUCCAUAAUAAAUACAAAAUAUGAUAAAGGUGUAUACAAUGCACACUAAAGAGCAUUUUCCAGAAAUACCGGUCAUUGAUUGACGAUAUGACCAGGGGCAAUAGUACAUCCUUAUGUGCCAAUUUACAUGACUGAACCAACUCUAUGAUUGAAUCCAGUUUUGCUUUUAGUAAGGGUAUUUUUACUAAAUGUUUCUGAAGAAUUAUUCAUGUUGGUUAUUGUUAUUUUCUUCUGUUCAGGGGAUCUUUCCUAAAUAUCUGUAGAAGACUCCAAUUAUUUUAUUUAAAUGUGGCAUUUAGUUCAAUUCAAAAUCAAAUGUUAGUUUUGUUGAAUGAUUAUAUAAAACAAACCAUAUUUUGUCUUUCCCAAAGAGUAAAGAACAUUUUAAUCAAUGUUCAAAUGGUUGUAAACAAGUAAUAUCUGUUUCCAGAUCGGUCCAAAAAGCCGAAAUCCAAAUUAGACUGGAAUAUUAUGUGUACAUUUACAGUAUUUGUGUUAAAAUUUAGCUUAAAUAUUGUUUAGAGAUGUGCUUGAAGUCUGAAGUCUGUAUUUUUCAUUCAUCUAAGGGCUGUAGUGUUGCUUUCGAAUCUCUAUUUGUGGUACUGUUUUGUCACGAUCAGUUGUCUGUACACUUUUCUUUUUUAGCUGAACAGCAACUCUGUGUUCAUCUUUCUGAAUUAGACAUGAUUCUAUUGGGCAUUUCUAUAAUUUUUAUUUAAGCCAAUGAUGAGGUGCGAUUGUCUAGGGCCAGAAGUUAUUUCUGACCUUGUGACCUAACCAGGAAAAACUGAGCUGUAGUUAUACUUUUAAAGCCUGGAAUGUUGCUUGGUGAGGUGUGAAACUGCUUGCCCUACAACCAAUAUCUAGUCAUGUGAGGAAUAUAUCUUGUCAGUACUCUGAAAACAGUUACUAUUAAUCUAAUGAUUGAAAUAAGGGAUUCCAUAUAAUAUCCAGUGCCUUCAGAAAGUCCCACCCCUUUACUUCUACACACAAUACCCCAUGAUGUCAAAUGUUGUUUUUUUUAGAAUUUAUUUGACAAAUUAAUUAAAAAUGAAAAUCUGAAAUGUCUUGAGUCAACUAUUCAACCCAUUUCAUAUGGCAAGCCUAAAUACGUACAGGAGUACAAAUGUGCUUAAGUUGCAUGCAAUAAUAGUGGUUAACAUUAAUUGUUGAAUGACUACCCCACACAUACAAUUAUCUGGAAGGUCCCUCAGUUCAAAAGUAAUUUUCAAGCACAGAUUCAACCACAAAGACCAGGGAGGUUUUCCAAUGCCUCACAAAGUAGGGCACCUAUUGGUAGAAAACAAAAAGCAGACGAUAUUUGAGGGUGGUGAAGUUAUUAAUUACACUUUGGAUGGUGUAUAAAUACACCCAGUCACUACAAAGAUGCAGGUGUUCUUCCUAUCUCUGUAGCCGGAGAGGAAGGAAACCGCUCAGGGAUUUCGCCAUGAGACCAAUACUGAUUUUUAAAAUUGUUAGAUUUUAAUGGCUGUGGUGGGAGAACUGAGGAUGGAUCAACAACAUUGUAGUUACUCAACAAUACUAACUUAAUUGACAGAGGUUAAUUAAAAAAAGGAAGCCUGUACAGAAUAAAAACAUUCAAAAACAUACAUCCUGUUUGCAACAAGGCACUGAAGCAAUACUGCAAAACACUUGGUAAAGAACUUUUUGACCUAAAUACAAAGUGUUUUGUUUGAUGCAAAUCCAGCACAUCACUGAGUACCACACUUCAUAUUUUCAAGCAUGGUGGUGGCUGCAUCAUGUUAGGGUAUGCUUGUCAUUGGUGAAGACCAGGGAGUUAAUUAGGAUCCAGAUAAAUGGACUAGAGCUAAGCACAGGCAAAAUCCUAGAGGAAAACCUGAUUUGCUUUCCUGGGAGACAAAUUCACCUGUCAACAAUAACCUAAAAAACAAAGCCAAAUAUACACUGCAGUUGCUUACCAAGACAACAUUGAAUGUUCCUGAUUGGAUUAGUUACAGUUUUGACUUAAAUCUGCUUGAAAAUCUAUGGCAGGACUUGAAAAUGGCUGUCCAGCAAUCAUCAACAACCAAUUUGACAGAGCUUGAAGAAUUUUAAAUGGCAUAAUAGGCUAAUAUUGUACAAGCCAGGUAUGCAAAGCUGUUAGACUUACCCCAAAACACUCACAGCUGUAACUGCUGCCGAAGGUGAUUCUAACAUGUAUUAAAUACUUAUCUAAUCAAUAAAUAUUUGUUCUAUUUUUCAUAAAUAUAUCAUUUUUCUUCCACUUUGACAGAGUAUUGUGUGUGGAUCGUUGACCCAAAAACUCCCAACAAAAAUGUGUAAAAAGUAAAUGGGUGUGAAUACUUUCUGAAGGCAUUGUAUUGGUACCUCAGUUUGACAAAUAUUGUUUCUGGGCAGAAAUAUUCUGACAAUCGUUGAAUGUUCGUUUUCACUAGCACCUGGCACCUAAAAUAUGUAAAUGAUGCUUUGAGUUUUUAUACACAGUCUGUAUGUAAAAUCACAAUGUACACGCUGAAGAGUGUGCAUUGCUGUGGAUAUCACAACCCCUCUCCUCUAGAGAGGAUUGUUUUGCUGCUAGGGGAAUGAUUCUCUCAACUGUCAUAACCAUGCACCUUAAUGCUUCAACUUUGAAUCAAUAAUGAUAACCCUAAAACUUAAAAAUUGUUAUUCUGAUAAAUGAUAGUUUACCCAGAUACGGCUAUAUCAUAGCAAUGAAGUGUAUGCUGAAACUCUAUGCUCUUAAAAGGUACAUUAUACCGAUUGUUGACAUCUGUAAUCACCUGUUUUUUAUUAUUAAGUGUUUGAAACAAAUCAUUGAGGCAUUUAGAACAUAUCAGCCACUGAGUCUGUAGAACUUCCAGUGGAAUUGUUUCCUCAGGGAAAUGUGUGUAUUUGUUACGUAUAGAGAAUUAUAAUAAAGUUAAUACCUAACUGAAUGCAAAACCAAGCCUGUUGGUUAACAUUUUAUUACAAUUUUCUAUGUCUUUGUUUGUGUGUAGAUUGUUGCCACAAAAUCUAAUCUCCCAACCCUCAGUAAGAUUCUUCUCUGGAAAUGUUUCUGUUUUUUGUUGCAGAGAUGUAGAUUGCUUGUAAUUUAUAUAUAUUUUUUCUUUACUAAGGAUUGUUUCUAAUUUCUUUAGAUUUCUUUUGAUUGUCUUUUCAAUAAAUGCGGUCUUCAAAAAAAA